AGUUUGAUUCUUGGUGAUUGGAGAUUGGUGAAAAAAUAGCUUACAAGCAAUCUAAAUUCGUAUUUUAGCAUACUAUGGAAAAACACAGAAAGUUGAAUAUCAUUUAGAAUGAUUGUCAAUCACAAGCAAAAGAGCAAUCAAUUGAAAGUUCUACUGAAGUAAACCAAAAUAACAACUCUAUACUUGAAGAAAAUACACAAUUUGAAGGAGAACAACACAUACAAGAAGAUAGUCAUGUUUAGUCUCAUACUUCUCUUGAAAGUGCAAGUGAAAGUUCAACUAAAGGUAAAAAGAGAACCAGAGGUUAUACACAUAUGCUAGAUGUGUGGAACUUGUCAGAUGGAAAAUUCAUACUUGUUGAAGUAGAUCAUUGGGGCAAUCCUAUGGGUUGGAAAGGGAAAACUCUACUGAAUGCAAUUGGGAGCUUGGUAAGGAGACACCAGUGUGCUCCUAUCAAUUUUCUUAGCUGGAAAGACAUGCCUAAGGACUAUAUUACUGACAUGGUUGAAUUAAUUCAGAAAAUAAGCAACAUCAACAAAAGGAGCCGCUCAAAAUAUGAGGACUUGCAUUGCAUGGGAACCAAUAAUCUUCCAAGACGGAUUCAUGAGAUGACUACAAAGGCUAAGGGAGUGCAACCUUCUAGGGCAGAAAUUUAUAUUGACACUUGAACUCGAAAAGAUGGAAGCAUUGUUACUGAAAAGGCUGCUAUUGUAAUUGAUGAACUAAAAAAGAAAAUGGUUGAAGCGGAGAGUUCGCAAAAUUUACAAAGUACCCAAGAUUCUACUAAUUGGACAAAUGAUAUAUAUUCAAAAGUCAAAGGACCUGAAAAAAGAGGACGUGUGCGUUAUCUUGGCAAGCUUCCACAUCAAGCAAGUUCAUCUCAAAGCUCUUAUACAAACAAUAGGAUUCAAAAGUUGGAGAAUUUGCUUGGAAACCUUGUAGUUGUGCUUAAAGUACGAUUUGCAGAAGAUCCACAAAUUAAUCAAGUCUUAGAAGCUAUAGAUCAAGAGGUACCUACAAAUGGUUCUACCAGUAAAGAUCAUCAAACUAAAAACAAUCUUAACUAGAGGUGAGUUGAAAUUUAGAUGGUAAUGAAGAUGCGAGUCGGCGACAAAAUGUUCAAGUGUUUGGUUUUUACUUUGUCUAUUUGUCCAACAACUAGAAUUAACUCUUUUAUACAUUUAGAAAUUUAGAAACUUGUUACAUUUUAGUGAUGAUUCCCUCCAUGUAAAGAGGGUCAUGGUGCACCAAAAAUAUACACUUAGGAAGGACUAUGCACAUGGUACUAAAAAACAAGGCAAAGUGAAUUGGAAAAUUUUCUAUAGCACUACUAAUGCUAGAUCAUUUCACAA